ensembl:snRNA U6 U6 spliceosomal RNA
GUGCUUGCUUCGGCAGCACAUAUACUAAAAUUGGAAUGAUUCAGAGAAGAUUAGCAUGGCCCCUGUGCAUGGAUGACAUGCAAAUUCAUGAAGCAUUCUAUAUUUUU